rnacentral:rRNA from 1 species
AGGCCGACAGGCGUAGGCGAUGGACAACAGGUUGAUAUUCCUGUACCACCUCUUUAUCGUUUGAGCAAUGGAGGGACGCAGAAGGAUAGAAGAAGCGUGCGAUUGGUUGUGCACGUCCAAGCAGUUAGGCUGAUAAGUAGGCAAAUCCGCUUAUCGUGAAGGCUGAGCUGUGAUGGGGAAGCUCCUUAUGGAGCGAAGUCUUUGAUUCCCCGCUGCCAAGAAAAGCUUCUAGCGAGAUAAAAGGUGCCUGUACCGCAAACCGACACAGGUAGGCGAGGAGAGAAUCCUAAGGUGUGCGAGAGAACUCUGGUUAAGGAACUCGGCAAAAUGACCCCGUAACUUCGGGAGAAGGGGUGCUUUCUUAACGGAAAGCCGCAGUGAAUAGGCCCAAGCGACUGUUUAGCAAAAACACAGGUCUCUGCGAAGCCGUAAGGCGAAGUAUAGGGGCUGACACCUGCCCGGUGCUGGAAGGUUAAGGAGAGGGGUUAGCGUAAGCGAAGCUCUGAACUGAAGCCCCAGUAAACGGCGGCCGUAACUAUAACGGUCCUAAGG